GGUAGAGGAAAUGGUAGUGACAAAGGUGGGAAUAUAAUGGUGGUGACAGUAGAUGCUGUCAUAGUGGAGGUGGUGGUGACAGCAGUUGGUGGUGUGGUGGUGACAGUUGAUGGUGUGGUGGUGACAGUUGAUGGUGUGCUGUGGUGACAGUUGGUGGUGUGGUGGUGACAGUUGAUGGUGUGGUGGUGACAGUUGAUGGUGUGCUGUGGUGACAGUUGAUGGUGUGGUGGUGAAGUUGAUGGUGUGGUGGUGACAGCAGUUGAUGGUGUGGUGGUGACAGCAGUUGAUGGUGUGGUGGUGACAGCAGUUGAUGGUGUGGUGGUGACAGUUGAUGGUGUGGUGGUGACAGUUGAUGGUGUGCUGUGGUGACAGUUGAUGGUGUGGUGGUGACAGUUGAUGGUGUGGUGGUCACAGCAGUUGGUGGUGUGGUGUGGUGGUGAGAGCUGGUGCUUUGCUGAUGGAUCUGAUGUUUAUGGCAAUCCUGAUGGUGAUGGUGGCCAUAGUGGUGGUGGUGAUGGUGAUAAUCAAGGACAUUUAACACUAGCAACAGCUCCUGCUCAAGGCAGAGCCGGCUACGCUGCGGACCCAGGGCUCUCCUCUCCUACUAGACUCCCUCACCUCUCAGGACACUGUGGAGCUCAAGACCAUACAAGGACCAUGGAGAAAGGGGAGGCGUCUUCGGGGCUGUCUGAGAGAAACCAGCCUUCCAGAUAGGGCACCACCCAAGCAAAGGAAUGGCAAGACCACACCACUGCAUGGUCAACGGGAGACGGCGCAGAACGUGCAAGGUACAGAGCCCAGUACUGCAGAAUGACAAUAAAUGCCUGCAUUGACGGCUAACACGUUUACGAUAGGACACUUUGUUACUUUAGUGUGCUCUUUGUGUCUGUGUUUUUAAAAGGCUUUACUGUAAAAGGCAGCAGAGAGAAGCUGUGGUAGUUCUCUGCCAUCUUGUGCUUUGUACCUCUCAGGGACACACAGUCUU
rnacentral:lncRNA from 1 species